CAGCCGCCGCGGGAAUACGGAGGGGGCUAGCGUUGUUCGGAAUUACUGGGCGUAAAGCGCACGUAGGCGGCUUGGUAAGUUAGAGGUGAAAGCCUGGAGCUCAACUCCAGAAUUGCCUUUGAGACUGCCGAGCUAGCAGGUGAGAGAGGUAAGUGGAAUUCCGAGUGUAGAGGUGAAAUUCGUAGAUAUUCGGAAGAACACCAGUGGCGAAGGCGGCUUACUGGCUCAUACUGGACGCUGAGGUGCGAAAGCGUGGGGAGCAAACAGGAUUAGAUACCCCAGUAGUCCCUGUCUCUUAUAU
rnacentral:rRNA from 1 species